AAAAUUUCCGUAAAAAUACGGUACAAUGUACCAUAUAAAUGUGAAGGAUUUUUUCCGUAUUUGUCUUUUACGGAUCUUUUACCCUUAUUUUGAAUUUCGCGUUGCAUUGUGGGAACAAGAUCCCGGCAGCGCGAAAAGUUUAAGACGCAUCCGCCAUUACACACGCAGAUGACCGCGGGCAAAGUUGCUUUUUAGAGCCGGAUUUCGGGUGUGUGGAAGCCAUUCUGACACUUAUGUGGUAAAACUUAAACUUAAAAACGAAAAUUAUGUUUUGCUUGAUAAGCUGUUAACGUAACGUUAUUUUUAGUUACCAUCUGGCAUUAACUGGUAGGCAAAUGAAUGUCGGAGCCGUCACGUUUAUCAUUUUAUGCAUAUCGUCACACAUUGAAAGAGUUAGUUAAGACUCGUGGAGGUUCUCGAUUGUAGUGUCCUUGUUGUAAUGGGCUUAUUUACUUUUAUUUGUCGUGAUGCGGUUUAUUUCUUGCCGAGCGAAUCCGUUAACUAGUUGUGAUAGUUCUAACGUUAGCUAGUGUUUUUAGAGCAAUUUAAUGCCUUCAAGCAAAAGCAACCAGAGGAAUCGUCAAGAAAAGUAAACGCCAUUAAGACUUGCUUGAUUUGAAAGGCAUGAAGACACAACGUGAAGAGACUGUUUGUGAAUAUGCAGUAACUUGACCGCUACAGCUGGAUCAAGGAAAACACCAGCACCUUUUCUGCAAAAUGAGGUAAGUUAACGUUAUGUUUACGUUAGACUUCAUGUUUUUGUUUUAGAUGACACACACGACUUUAAACCCCAAAUAAUGAAAGAUUAAUUUACAUUUAGCAUGACUGCUAUUAUCUAAACUUCUGCCUGUAAUGUUAGUCAUUCUUUCCCUUCUCAUUUGUUCAUUUCAUAAUGUUUCUGUUGUUUUCUUAUCUAUUAACAGGACUUUUCUGCUGUAGUUUACAUCCCAAGCACCACCUGCAUGCUUCUUAUGGGUGGUGGACAUUCAGGGUUGCUGUCAUUCAAGAAGUUAUUGACCACAUCUCCUACCCUAUUGAGGCAGUAAGAUGCAAAAUACCUGAAGAAUAUGGCACUUAUCCUGGAGUUCAUAUAAAGAAAUCCUGAACGAAGGUUGAAAAGGCUGAGAUGAAGGAAACGUCCCCAUUCCUCCAAAACUGCUGAAGUUCCUGUAUGAACAACUUCGAAAAACCAGCUGGCAUCUUGGGGAGGACGACCUCGCAUCCAGUAUGCUGCUGUGGGUGCCGCAGGAUUUCGAACUCAUUCGAUCACUUGUCUCUAUGCUUUUCGAACUGUGGCGACUAAUCGUGCCUUGCUGUGGGUCAAGCCGCUGGAUCUUCAGAUCUUCUUCGAUUUGCUUAAUCCAUCCUUUUUUUGGGUGCAAUGCGCUGGAUUCUACACUGGGUUGGACGUUUCCUCCAGAGGACUUGUGUGGUAUUCAAUUUGCAUCCAUUCUGCAUGUGUCCAAACAUUUCACUCUAUUGACUAGAAGUCUAAAGCAAUUUUUAAAAGCAGAAGCCUUAUCUUCAUUGCAUUUUGUUUGUUUCUGUAUUGUAUCGUAUUCUAUUAGUAUUGCAUUUGAAAAUGUUUUGAAUCUUGACUUUCACAGUUUAUGAAGGUUUUUUUUUUCCAUUUUUUAAAAAUAAUUUUGUGAGCUAUUUGGUACAACACCAAUAUUGUGCAAGUACCUGCUCGUUUUCUUUUUUU